UACAGAGGUCUCAAGCGUUGUUCGGAUUCAUUGGGCGUAAAGGGUGCGUAGGCGGCGCGGUAAGUCGGGUGUGAAAGUCCAGGGCUCAACCCUGGGAUGCCGGUGGAUACUGUCGGGCUCGAGUCCGGAAGAGGAGUGUGGAAUUCCUGGUGUAGCGGUGGAAUGCGCAGAUAUCAGGAGGAACACCUAUAGCGAAGGCAGCUUGCUGGGACGUUACUGACGCUAAGGCGCGAAAGCGUGGGGAGCGAACAGG
rnacentral:rRNA from 1 species